rnacentral:rRNA from 1 species
UUNUGAACUGGGUGACUAGAGUGUGUCAGAGGGAGGUAGAAUNCCACGUGUAGCAGUGAAAUGCGUAGAGAUGUGGAGGANUACCGAUGGCGAAGGCAGCNUCCUGGGAUAACACUGACGUUCAUGCCCGAAAGCGUGGGUAGCAAACAGGAUUAGAUACCNUGGUAGUCCACGCCCUAAACGAUGUCGAUUAGCUGUUGGGCAGCAUGACUGCUUAGUAGCGAAGCUAACGCGUGAAAUCGACCGCCUGGGGAGUACGGUCGCAAGAUUAAAACUCAAAGGAAUUGACGGGGACCCGCACAAGCGGUGGAUGAUGUGGAUUAAUUCGAUGCAACGCGAAGAACCUUACCUGGUCUUGACAUGUACGGAACCCUCCAGAGACGGAGGGGUGCCUUCGGGAGCCGUACACAGGUGCUGCAUGGCUGUCGUCAGCUCGUGUCGUGAGAUGUUGGGUUAAGUCCCGCAACGAGCGCAACCCUUGUCAUUAGUUGCCAUCAUUAAGUUGGGCACUCUAAUGAGACUGCCGGUGACGAGCCGGAGGAAGGUGGGGAUGACGUCAAGUCCUCAUGGCCCUUAUGACCAGGGCUUCACACGUCAUACAAUGGUCGGUACAGAGGGUAGCCAAGCCGCGAGGUGGAGCCAAUCUCACAAAACCGAUCGUAGUCCGGAUUGCACUCUGCAACUCGAGUGCAUGAAGUCGGAAUCGCUAGUAAUCGCAGGUCAGCAUACUGCGGUGAAUACGUUCCCGGGUCUUGUAC